rnacentral:rRNA from 1 species
AUUCCAGCUCCAAUAGCGUAUAUUAAUGUUGUUGCAGUUAAAAAGCUCGUAGUUGGAUUUCUGGUGGGAGCGGCCGGUCCGCCGUAAGGUGUGUACUUGGUUGUCUCCUGUCAUCCUUGUGGGAACUGCUCUGGCAUUAAGUUGUCGGGGUUAGGGAACACAUCGUUUACUGUGAAAAAAUUAGAGUGUUUAAAGCAGGCUUAUGCCGUUGAAUACAUUAGCAUGGAAUAAUAAGAUAGGACUUUGGCGUCUAUUUUGUUGGUUUGCACACCAAGGUAAUGAUUAAUAGGGAUAGUUGGGGGUAUUCGUAUUGCAACGUCAGAGGUGAAAUUCAUGGAUUGUUGCACGACAAACCACUGCGAAAGCAUUGACCAAGGAUGUUUUCAUCA